ACUAUAGUACGCACAGCGUACUAUGUUGAUCUUUAGAUCAGCUUCUUAUCUGCUUCGGCAAAUACAAACUUAGAUUGAUGUAUGCAGAGUAUGAAAUAUAGAAACGCAUGUCAAU
rnacentral:sRNA from 12 species